UUUCCGUAGGUGAACCUGCGGAAGGAUCAUUAAAAAAUAUCACAUUUUGUAUGUGAUUUAAUAAUCAUCCUAUCCUUUGUGAAUUUGUUUUGUUUUGAAAUUUAUGUUGUCUAUCCCUGGAUAUGAAAGAAAAGUCGUAAGAUUUUUUUUUCAUUCUAGGGAAUAGGCUUUCAUAGACAUUUUUUAAAUUAAACUUUUUGUAUUCAUUUGUCUAAAAUUUAUUUUUAAAUAAUUUAAAAACAACUUUUGACAAUGGAUCUCUUGGUUCUCGCAACGAUGAAGAACGCAGCAAAAUGCGAUAAGUAAUGUGAAUUGCAGAAUACGUGAAUCAUCAAAUUUUCGAACGCAUAUUGCACUUUUUUAGUUUACUAAAAAAGUAUGUCUGUUUGAGUAUCAGUAAAAUAUUCUCAUAAAAACUAUUGUUUUUAUGGUUAUGAGUGUUUUACAACGAUAACAAGUUGUUUCACUUUAAAUUGAUUUUUUAAUAAGCCAAUUUGGUUUUAUUUUUAAAAUUGGAUAAAAUUUUCCCGUAAAAAGAAUAAACUUUUCAGUUUUAAAAUUAAAUCUAAAUUGACCUACAAAAAAGGAAAUUUAAUUUAUAAACUAACUUGAUCUCAAAUCAGAUAAGAGUACCCGCUGAACUUAAGCAUAUCAAUAAGCGGAGGAAAAGAAACUAACAAGGAUUCCCUUAGUAACGGCGAGUGAAGCGGGAAGAGCUCAAAUUUGAAAUCUUCAAGGUUCUACCUUGACGAAUUGUAGUUUAUAGAAGUGUUUUCUGUUAAUGGAGUGGCAAAAGUUCUUUGGAAUAGGACAUCAUAGAGGGUGAGAAUCCCGUAUUGGUCAUUCCUUCUAGUUUUGUGAUACACUUUCAAAGAGUCGGAUUGUUUGGGAAUGCAGUCCAAAAUGGGUGGUAAUUCAUCUAAAGCUAAAUAUUGGCGAGAGACCGAUAGCGAACAAGUACCGUGAGGGAAAGAUGAAAAGAACUUUGAAAAAGAGAGUUAAACAGUACGUGAAAUUGUCAAAAGGGAGCGUUUGACACCUGUGUUGUUUUUCCGAAAAUCAAUUAUAAAUGUUUUGUUUCUGAGGAGUGAUGACUUCAUCGGCUUCCUUCUCUCUUCACGAAACUUUUGUAAUGCACUUUUCGGUUAACAAGUCAACAUCAAUUUCUUUGUUGUAAAAGAGUAUUCGGAAGGUGGCUUUCUUUUCGGAGAAAGUGUUUAUAGCCCUAUACUUCUACAAUCGGAGAGAUUGAGGUCUGCAGCGUAGAUCCUUCGGGGUUAGAUACACUUGUGCUAAGUUUAUAGCUUUUCAUAGACAACUUGUUGACUAUGUUUAGUCUUGUAGCUUACUCGCUUGUGCUAUUUUACCUACGCUUAG
rnacentral:misc_RNA from 1 species